GAUGAACGCUAGCGGCAGGCCUAACACAUGCAAGUCGAGGGGUAACAGGGAGAAGCUUGCUUUUCCGCUGACGACCGGCGCACGGGUGCGUAACGCGUAUACAAUCUGCCUUAUACUGGGGUAUAGCCUUUAGAAAUGAAGAUUAAUCCCCCAUAGUCUCUUAGAGUGGCAUCAUUUUAGGAGUAAAGGUUACGGUAUAAGAUGAGUAUGCGUUCUAUUAGUUUGUUGGUGAGGUAACGGCUCACCAAGGCUACGAUAGAUAGGGGCCCUGAGAGGGGGAUCCCCCACACUGGUACUGAGACACGGACCAGACUCCUACGGGAGGCAGCAGUGAGGAAUAUUGGACAAUGGAGGCAACUCUGAUCCAGCCAUGCCGCGUGCAGGAAGACUGCCCUAUGGGUUGUAAACUGCUUUUAUACAGGAAGAAACCGCUCUACGUGUAGAGCUCUGACGGUACUGUAAGAAUAAGGAUCGGCUAACUCCGUG
rnacentral:rRNA from 1 species